UACGGAGGGGGCUAGCGUUGUUCGGAAUUACUGGGCGUAAAGCGCACGUAGGCGGCUUUGUAAGUUAGAGGUGAAAGCCCGGGGCUCAACUCCGGAAUUGCCUUUAAGGCUGCAUCGCUAGAAUUGUGGAGAGGUAAGUGGAAUUCCGAGUGUAGAGGUGAAAUUCGUAGAUAUUCGGAAGAACACCAGUGGCGAAGGCGACUUACUGGACACAAAUUGACGCUGAGGUGCGAAAGCGUGGGGAGCAAACAGG
rnacentral:rRNA from 1 species